GUAUAAUAAAAAGGAAAACGUGCUCCUCCCGUGGGUCGAACCUAUUACUGAUCGAAUGGGAAGUCUUUACCGCAACCGGGUCCCACAUGUAAGUUUCAGGUGAGUUGGUGGUAGAAGUUUUGGUAUGUUAUGUUAGUCUGAGAUGAAAAAAUGGUAGAAAAAUAAACAGGAAAGAGUAUCCAUAGCAAAGCUCGAACCUGUGACCUCUUAGAAGUGCUGAGAUAGCACUACCACUGAGACAUGAGCUAUGUAUGUUUUUAAAAAGGAUACAUUUUCUAUACUUUCUUCUAAUAAGUGUGGUCCCCAUGCCAGUUGCAGGCCCAAGCAUCGGCUAUAUACUUCUCAUUUCUCGACACGGCGUACAGUACUGCAAGAGACUCGCUGGCACCACGCUUCUGUUGGCUGUGGCAAAGACUAAAGCUAGCGUCGGUGUGCAGAUCAGUAACGGCCCACGACGGGAAUGGCGCAUGCUAGAGGCAACAGGGGGAGGAGGAGGUACAGUGAGGUUAGUCCCCUGGUUUGUUCCGCUACUUUCCCCUAUGAUCCUAUGGAAGGGAAUUUCUGAAUUUGGGGAUCUAUGUUGAAGAUACUAGAUUCCGAUUUCUGGGUCGAUGGACUAUAAUUUAUGAAGUGCAAAGCUAAACACUGAUUUCAAGUUACGAUGACUUUGAUGAUGCAGUUAGUCUAUCAUUUGAUAGGUUCUUGCAUUUUAUUAGCUUCCAUAAGGGCUUGGAGUCACUAAUAGCACCAGAUCACCGUCGCCUAAUGUUAUCGUAGUGGAUCCUGAAAACAAGUGCGAGCACAUGUUUGCUC
rnacentral:lncRNA from 1 species